rnacentral:rRNA from 1 species
AAUGAAUGUUGGCGGCGUGGAUUAGGCAUGCAAGUCGCGCGAUUUCCUUCGGGGAAGAGCGGCGGAAGGGAGAGUAACGCGUAGAUACCUACCCUCGGGACCGGAAUAGCGACGGGAAACUGUCGGUAAUGCCGGAUAACGUCCCUGGACCAAAGGUGUGAAUCCGCCUGAGGAGGGGUCUGCGUCCUAUUAGCUAGUCGGCGGGGUAACGGCCCACCGAGGCGAAGAUGGGUACCGGGCGUGAGAGCGUGACCCGGCUCACUGGGACUGAGACACUGCCCAGACACCUACGGGUGGCUGCAGUCGAGAAUCUUCGGCAAUGAGCGCAAGCUUGACCGAGCGACGCCGCGUGCGGGAUGAAGGCUUUCGGGCUGUAAACCGCUGUCAGUGGGGAGGAAAUUCUUGGGGGAACUCCCCCUUGAUUGACCGAUCCGCAGAGGAAGGACGGGCUAAGUUCGUGCCAGCCGCCGCGGUAAAAC